rnacentral:rRNA from 1 species
GAUGAACGCUGGCGGCGUGCCUAAUACAUGCAAGUCGAGCGAACGGACGAGAAGCUUGCUUCUCUGAUGUUAGCGGCGGACGGGUGAGUAACACGUGGAUAACCUACCUAUAAGACUGGGAUAACUUCGGGAAACCGGAGCUAAUACCGGAUGAUAUUUUGAACCGCAUGGUUCAAAAGUGAAAGACGGUCUUGCUGUCACUUAUAGAUGGAUCCGCGCUGCAUUAGCUAGUUGGUAAGGUAACGGCUUACCAAGGCAACGAUGCAUAGCCGACCUGAGAGGGUGAUCGGCCACACUGGAACUGAGACACGGUCCAGACUCCUACGGGAGGCAGCAGUAGGGAAUCUUCCGCAAUGGGCGAAAGCCUGACGGAGCAACGCCGCGUGAGUGAUGAAGGUCUUCGGAUCGUAAAACUCUGUUAUUAGGGAAGAACAUAUGUGUAAGUAACUGUGCAUAUCUUGACGGUACCUAAUCAGAAAGCCACGGCUAACUACGUGCCAGCAGCCGCGGUAAUACGUAGGUGGCAAGCGUUAUCCGGAAUUAUUGGGCGUAAAGCGCGCGUAGGCGGUUUUUUAAGUCUGAUGUGAAAGCCCACGGCUCAACCGUGGAGGGUCAUUGGAAACUGGAAAACUUGAGUGCAGAAGAGGAAAGUGGAAUUCCAUGUGUAGCGGUGAAAUGCGCAGAGAUAUGGAGGAACACCAGUGGCGAAGGCGACUUUCUGGUCUGUAACUGACGCUGAUGUGCGAAAGCGUGGGGAUCAAACAGGAUUAGAUACCCUGGUAGUCCACGCCGUAAACGAUGAGUGCUAAGUGUUAGGGGGUUUCCGCCCCUUAGUGCUGCAGCUAACGCAUUAAGCACUCCGCCUGGGGAGUACGACCGCAAGGUUGAAACUCAAAGGAAUUGACGGGGACCCGCACAAGCGGUGGAGCAUGUGGUUUAAUUCGAAGCAACGCGAAGAACCUUACCAAAUCUUGACAUCCUUUGACAACUCUAGAGAUAGAGCCUUCCCCUUCGGGGGACAAAGUGACAGGUGGUGCAUGGUUGUCGUCAGCUCGUGUCGUGAGAUGUUGGGUUAAGUCCCGCAACGAGCGCAACCCUUAAGCUUAGUUGCCAUCAUUAAGUUGGGCACUCUAAGUUGACUGCCGGUGACAAACCGGAGGAAGGUGGGGAUGACGUCAAAUCAUCAUGCCCCUUAUGAUUUGGGCUACACACGUGCUACAAUGGACAAUACAAAGGGCAGCGAAACCGCGAGGUCAAGCAAAUCCCAUAAAGUUGUUCUCAGUUCGGAUUGUAGUCUGCAACUCGACUACACGAAGCUGGAAUCGCUAGUAAUCGUAGAUCAGCAUGCUACGGUGAAUACGUUCCCGGGUCU